CUCUUGUACUUUGUACAGUUCUAUUACUGAACAGGUUGCCAGAGAGCUGUUAGUUAGUACUGGCCCUGUAUAUAUUUGUGUAAUGUUAUUAUAACCCGUUUGACUCUUUUGUGCAUUUACUUUUAAAAACAAAUUGCAAUUUGUCCAAGUUUUGGGCGAUUGUCCUUUUGUCCAAAAUCUCAAACUCUGACACGCUAUAUUAAAAAGUUACAAAACAG